CCUACGAGUGGCAGCAGUGGGGAAUCUUGCGCAAUGGGCGAAAGCCUGACGCAGCGACGCCGCGUGAGGGCUGAAGUUCUUCGGAUCGUAAACCUCUGUCAGCAGGGAAGAACGGUCACUGUGCUAAUCAGCAGUGAAUUGACGGUACCUGACUCAGAAGCCCCGGCUAACUACGUGCCAGCAGCCGCGGUAAUACGUAGGGGGCAAGCGUUAUCCGGAUUUACUGGGUGUAAGGGGAGCGUAGACGGCUAAUCAAGUCAGAAGUGAAACCCGAGGGCUCAAGCUUGGGAGGGCUUUUGAACGUGAGUAGCAAGAGUGCAGGAGAGGUAAGCGGAAUACCUAGUGUAGCGGUGAAAAGCGCAGAUAUUAGGAGGAACACCAGUGGCGAAGGCGGCUAACUGGACUGUAACUAACGUUGAGGCUCGAAAGCGUGGGGAGCAAACAGGAUGAGAUAC
rnacentral:rRNA from 1 species